AUUGAACGCUGGCGGCAGGCCUAACACAUGCAAGUCGAACGAGUGGCGGAAGGGUGAGUAAUGUAUGGGAAACUGCCCGAUAGAGGGGGAUAACUACUGGAAACGGUGGCUAAUACCGCAUACCAUCGGAUGCACCCAGAUGGGAUUAGCUAGUAGGUGGGGUAACGGCUCACCUAGGCGACGAUCCCUAGCUGGUCUGAGAGGAUGACCAGCCACACUGGGACUGAGACACGGCCCAGACUCCUACGGGAGUCAGCAGUGGGGAAUAUUGCACAAUGGGCGCAAGCCUGAUGCAGCCAUGCCGCGUGUAUGAAGAAGGCCUUCGGGUUGUAAAGUACGUUCAGCGGGGAGGCGUUACCCGCAGAAGAAGCACCGGCUAACUCCGUGCCAGCAGCCGCGGUAAUUC
rnacentral:rRNA from 1 species